UAUUAUUAUUAUUAUUUAAAAAAAAAUUAGAACCCUAUUCUCUCUCCCACAAAGUUUUUGCCUCUCUUAACCAGCCGCCUCCCUCUCCUCUCUCUUUGCCUGUUCUCUUCUCUCUUCCCCUCAUACCCAUUUCAUUUUCUCUCUGCCUCCUUCUCUCACCAUCUAUGUUGAUGUCCUCUAUUCGAAGGCAACACUCUUCCUGGGUCAAAGACUCGAAGAGGAGGACAACAGGAUAGGCUUGCGGCAGGGGAUGGGAUGGAUAGUGGAGGGGUAGACGGCGAGCUAGGCUUGCGGCAGGGGAAUGGGAACGCGGGUUAUCGGACGACAAAGGACCACAGUACCAGGUUAUGUCGACCAUGGGAAUAUCAUAGGAUUGACUUUUAAGGUGGAUACCUGGAUUUAUUAGGAAGAAUAUUGAGAAAAGAAAUAUGAUUGAGUUUGCACUGAUUUUGAGAAGGGAAUUAUGUUGUUGUAUUAUAUAUUUUGAACUUUAUGGAUUUAUAAUAUUAUAAUGAAUUUUUAUUUAGAAUUAUUUAGUCUCAUGGGGAUUUGAUGUAUUAUUUACAUUUCAAUUGUAUGAAUAAAUGUUGUAUGUAUAUGAAUUUUUAUCAUGUUAAA